rnacentral:rRNA from 1 species
AUUGAACGCUGGCGGCAGGCCUAACACAUGCAAGUCGAGCGAGCGGCGGACGGGUGAGUAAUGUAUGGGGACUGCCCGAUAGCGGGGGAUAACCACUGGAAACGGUAGCUAAUACCGCAUACUAUCGGAUAACCCAUAUGGGAUUAGCUAGUAGGUGAGGUAAUGGCUCACCUAGGCGACGAUCCCUAGCUGGUCUGAGAGAAGAAUCAGCCACACUGGGACUGAGACACGGCCCAGACUCCUACGGAGGCAGAAGUGGGGAAGAUUGAACAAUGGGCGCAAGCGUGAGGCAGCCAUGCAGCGUAGAUGAAGAAGGCCCUAGGGUUGUAAAGUAAAUUCAGUCGUGAGGCGUUACCGACAGAAGAAACACCGGCUAACUCCGUGCCAGACGGAGCGGUAAUUC